GUAACGUUUUGCAACAAGAUAUUAUUUAUAAUGUGUUUAAAAUUGCAUUGCAUUAAAUUGCAUUAUAUCACAAACAUUAUCUUAUAUUAAUGAAAAAAUUCUAUUUGAAUUGAGAAAUGUUUGAAACAGUUCAAGAGAAAGUGAUAUGGAAACCUAAGAUUUUAUUUAUGGGAAUAAACAUCAAUGUCCAGCAUAUUCGGACUAAAUAGAGCUCAUGGCAAGAUCCACAAAAGAACUUGAAAUUAUGUUUUUAAUUAAUGUUAAUUAAAACAAGAAUACAGUUAAGCAGCAGUAAUAGUACGAUAAAAGAUAUAUCCCGAAACCUGGAUAAUGAAUAAAAAGACCAAACUAAACUAGAAUUAUGUACUGAAGAAGAGAAGAACAAACACAGAAGCGUCAGAAUUGUAUAAGAACUCAAGUAUAACCCAUAUAAUUAAAGAACAGAGAACGAGGUGGUUGAGCAUGGGUCAAACGAGUGGAAAACCAAGGGAAAAAUGGUUGGAGGAGGUUAGAAAAGAUUUGAGAACAGAGGAAGUGAGUGAUGGGCAAAAUAAGGCCAAAAACAUCGAAUCUAAUUGUUUUUUACGUGCAUCGACAGCGCUGGUCAUUGGCACACAAAAGCAAUCAUAAGUUCAAUACAGGAUUGUUACAAAAUCUAUUACAAUCUAUUACAGUUUGGUGGCUUUAAGAAAUUCCACGAUUUUCCUUACUUCCGUUCUGCAGUCGGUGAGGAUGAACUUAACAGUCACAGGAACUUGACAAGUUCGGCAGACAGGACGACUUUCUGACGACAAAGCCGUGAAUAAGUUUCGUGUGGUUGAUGCGAAGUCUUCUUAUAGUUACAACUUCUCUCCUAUUCAAAAAGUUUAGGGAAAUGUGAUAAGUAGAUGGGUGGAUUUGUUUUUUAAUGAGGUGUUUGAAGUUAAUCUUCAGAUCAUUGGCCAGCUGAACUGGGAUUUCAGGAUGAUUCUUUGUGGCUUCUUUGGUAUGGCGAUCGGCACAUUCGUUUCCAGCAAUUCCACUGUGCGAUGAAGACGUCCAUAUUGAUCAAUGCAUUUACGGCUAGUUUUCUCAACGGAGAGGCAGGUCCAGCGAAGCAUGUCAAGCUGUCCGCGAAGAGUUUCAAAUUCUUCUUCAAUUGCAGUUCGAAGGUCCCUUAUAAGGCCCAACAGGAAGAAAACCCAUGACUGUGCGGGCUAUUCAUCGAAUCCUUGCCUUUCGAUCCAUUUUGGCCCGUCACGUGGACCUCAAAAAAGUACAGAAUCAAUGAAGACGUGAGAAUUCUGGUCGUUCCAGUACACGUAGUUAUGCCAAUUCAACUUUAAGGUUGCUUCAUCCGACCACAAAAUGGAAUACGCGGUAACAAAAAAACUCUUAAAUCGUGAACUUGUAUCGGUUAUUUAUUCUGUAAACGCUUCUACUCUACGAGCACGGGUUAUCAUGACACAGACACAACUGUCUUAGGCAAGAACAUUUUAAUAUUUUAUGAGCAUUGCAGGACUUAAGCCGAUCUUUCGAGAUCAUUGCCUGACUUAUUUCGACAUAUGUAAAUAGUAGUUUUCUUGAAUGAGUCUAAUAUUUUCGCAGCUGUAUUGUGAUUUAUACGACUUGAGUCAACGAAAUAACAUUUUUUUAGCAAACGUCGAUAGAAUAUGGCAAAUUUAAAUCCAUUUAUCGACUAUAAGUGUUCCUGAGAAAAGUAUUCGUUAAGAAGUAUGUCUUCAGAGUGAAACGUAGUUCGCGCGUCAUUCACAAAGAUUUACUAUGGACUGCUGUCGCUUUUUUCGGAGGUAAACGUCGAUCUGGUUGAGAUAAUCUGAGUUGAUCAAGACCCCAACGGAUGUGAUCAAUAUGAGUUGAUAUAUCAGAGUCGAAUUGAAUCAUUGAUACAACCUGGGCCGAAUAUUGUCUCUAGUGAAGGUUUAGGUGAGGAGUAGAUUACAAUUAAGUUGCCCUAUAACGGCAUAAUAAAUUUUUAUAAAGUAUACUAUAAAUUUUUUUAUAAAUAGAAGUUUUAGUUCCAGUUUUAUUUCGUUUAAGUCGUUCUUUUGACCGAUUUGUUACAAUUAAUUGAUUUGAUAGAGAAUUCGUACAAUAAGUAGUAUCUUAGUUAUUUAUAUUUGUCAUAUGUCGAAAGAACUGACUCAUGAAGAUGCAGAAUAUCGGUGAAAGCUGCUGCAAAGUAUUUUAAUAUAAUGACAAGUUGAAUGACAAAUAUCCUGAAAGACGUGGUAUGAGUCAAAGACAAUCCUUUCCGGAAAAAAACACAAUUUUUAUUGAUUGGAUUCUUGUAAGUACUGACCAAGCUUUCUCUUUAACGAAAUCACAGCUGUUGUGGAUUUUGUUUUAAGUUACUUCAAAGAUGAAAAUAUAUGUAACAAACGAUACAGAUCGAAAAACUUCUAUUAUAGAAAAUGGUAUAAAACAUAGUUAAAAAAUUUUAAAGCUGAUUUGCCAAAAAAUAGUUCCAACAAGAGAAAUACUCGUAGGGCAGAGAAGAAGUUUGUAACAUGUUUGAUAGGAUUAAUGCCUCCGAUAGUAGUUACUUUGUACGAGAAAUCGCUGUAUACAUUCAUAUUUAGUUAUUUUUAAUAUUUUUCUUGGUGCAUAUAGGUUGUAUGCAUACGAGGGUUGUCUAAAAAGUUUCCGAUCUCAACAUAAAAAUGUCUACGUUUAUCUUAGAAUGUGUUGAGAGAUUCUCACAAAACUUUCAGCCAUUUUGGACGCUUAGUUUCUGUUCUGACAAUCUUAUUAGUGAGUAGUUUUGAUCAAUAAUUCUGAAAAUAGCAGAAACUGUCAUUAAAUAUUUUUUUCCUACUUACUAAUCAAUAGUCCAGCCCGAUUUACAACGAAUGCAUCUCGAUCGAGACCCAAGCUAAGUUUAAUUUUACAUUUUGUAUUCACUAAAGUUUUACGGCGGCCUUCGGCUCCUUGGCCUCCAAUCAUUUUCUUCAAUGUAUGAGUUUAAAGUGAUUAAUAGAAGUUUGAAUAUUGUGUCACACCUUCGCCAUCCUUGAUCCUAAGACGUUUGCCCAUGAGAGCAUCGCUCACUGAUUGAGUGUAUAGAUUUAAAAGAAGAGUACGUUGGUAAAAAAAAAUGAUUAUGGAAAAAAGUAUUACUUCUUCGUUAGGUCGGAAACUUUUUAGACAGCCCUCGUAUACUAAAUACAGUUAAUUAUUAGUUUCUUUACUAGGUGAAUCAGGUAUUGGUCGCAUUAAGAUCAUAUUUACGACAAAGAUAAAUAUAGAUUUGUUCGGUGCUAUAAAAAAAUUAUUUGAAAACCUUGAAUUUUAAAGGACGGUUUAAAAAUUAUAAUUGUAGUACGUUUGACCACUGACUUUUGUACCCUAUUAACGAAAUCUUUUGAAAACCUCAUUGAAUCGUUCCUAUUGGCAAGACUGUGUAAAAUGGAGGCACUGAAUGACGUUAACACGUUAUACAACAGCCAUUUGCUUCUGUUGUCUGUCUGCCUGUUAGUUAUAACAUAAUUUUCUAUUUUGUUUCAUUAAUAAAUAGUCUUAUUUAUGAGGAGAAUUUAUAACAUGUGUAGUUUUUUUGUAAUUUUGGUAAAGUAUGACGAUAAAUUGCUAGAUUGUAUCUUGUACAAAAUUGUCAAAAUUUGAGUUUGAGUUGCUACCCUGUUCGCCAGAUUUAGCCCUAUCGGAUUAUUUGCUGCUCCCAAACUUGGAAAAAUGGCUCGUUGGUCAAAGAUUUUCCAGCAAUGAAGAGGUGAUGUCGGCAGUUAAUGGCUACUUUGUGGAGCUUGACGAUUCUUAUUAUAAAAAGGGUAUCAAACUUAUUAAACAUCACUGGGAAAAGUGUAUGGAGUUAAAAGGAAAUUACGUUUUUUUAUGUAGCUCGUUUUAUAAUAAACUAUCAAAAAAUUA